GACGAACCGUGCGAACGUUGUUCGGAUUCACUGGGCUUAAAGGGCGCGUAGGCGGGUCAGCAAGUCCGGGGUGAAAGCUUUCGGCUUAACCGGAAAAGUGCCUUGGAUACUGCUGGUCUAGAGGGAGGUAGGGGCAGGUGGAACUUCCGGUGGAGCGGUGAAAUGCGUUGAUAUCGGAAGGAACGCCGGUGGCGAAAGCGACCUGCUGGACCUCUUCUGACGCUGAUGCGCGAAAGCUAGGGAGCAACGGG
rnacentral:rRNA from 1 species